AACGAACGCUGGCGGCGGGCCUAACACAUGCAAGUCGAACGCUGUAGCAAUACAGAGUGGCAGACGGGUGAGUAACGCGUGGGAACGUGCCUUUCGGUUCGGAAUAACUCAGGGAAACUUGAGCUAAUACCGGAUACGCCCUUCGGGGGAAAGAUUUAUUGCCGAAAGAUCGGCCCGCGUCCGAUUAGCUAGUUGGUGUGGUAAUGGCGCACCAAGGCGACGAUCGGUAGCUGGUCUGAGAGGAUGAUCAGCCACACUGGGACUGAGACACGGCCCAGACUCCUACGGGAGGCAGCAGUGGGGAAUAUUGGACAAUGGGCGCAAGCCUGAUCCAGCCAUGCCGCGUGAGUGAUGAAGGCCCUAGGGUUGUAAAGCUCUUUCGCCAGGGACGAUAAUGACGGUACCUGGAUAAGAAGCCCCGGCUAACUUCGUGCCAGCAGCCGCCGUAAUAC
rnacentral:rRNA from 1 species